UUUGGACCUAAGGCAAGCCUUUAACUCGUCCUUCAAGAUCAUGCCUUCGACCUGCGACUGAUCCCUCUUGUCUCUUCGGAGCUUAAGCUCACUAUUUUUGCCCCAUAGAGCUCCUCGAAACUUGUUUCGGCCGUGUUCUUCCUUCCGGGUCCUCUUGGUUUCCCAUUCCAAGGCUUCGACGAUGGCCAUGUUGAUGUCCUUUGUAGAAG
rnacentral:lncRNA from 1 species